rnacentral:rRNA from 1 species
GAUAAACGCUGGCGGCGCACAUAAGACAUGCAAGUCGAACGGACUUAACUCAUUCUUUUAGAUUGAGAGCGGUUAGUGGCGGACUGGUGAGUAACACGUAAGCAACCUGCCUAUUAGAGGGGAAUAACAGUGAGAAAUCAUUGCUAAUACCGCAUAUGCUAACAGUAUCGCAUGAUACAGUUAGGAAAGGAGCAAUCCGCUGAGAGAUGGGCUCGCGUCCGAUUAGAUAGUUGGUGAGGUAACGGCUCACCAAGUCGACGAUCGGUAGCCGGACUGAGAGGUUGAACGGCCACAUUGGGACUGAGACACGGCCCAG